rnacentral:rRNA from 1 species
AGUUGUAAUCUAUAGAAGUGUUUUCCGUGCUGGCUCAUGUACAAGUCCCUUGGAACAGGGCGUCAUAGAGGGUGAGAAUCCCGUACUUGACAUGAAUCACCAGUGCUCUGUGAUACACUUUCAAAGAGUCGAGUUGUUUGGGAAUGCAGCUCAAAAUGGGUGGUAAAUUCCAUCUAAAGCUAAAUAUUGGCGAGAGACCGAUAGCGAACAAGUACCGUGAGGGAAAGAUGAAAAGCACUUUGGAAAGAGAGUUAAACAGUAUGUGAAAUUGUUAAAAGGGAAACGAUUGAAGUCAAUCAUGUCCUUGGGUCUUACCACCCUUGGAUGGGGUCAACAUCAGUUUUGAUCGGUGGAUAAGGAUAGGAGGAAGGUAGCACUCUCGGGUGAACUUAUAGCCUCCUGUCGCAUACACUGGUUGAGACUG